CUGUUCUGGCGUCGCCUUCCACCUCUGUGUCGUUUGCCUCGGUUGCAUCGGUGAGUACAUGGGCGGCCCCGUCGGCUCCGCCGCCGAUUAGAGCCAUCUUUGUCUUCCCUUUCUGGGUAAGUUUUGGUUCCUAUCCUUUUCCUCUUUGAUGAGUUCUAAGAUUUAUCGCUGUUUCUCUCGCCGCGCCGCGCGCCUCGCUUUCUUCCAUCGGCUCCGUGGUAUUCAUUGUUGCUUUGAUUAGUUCGUCCUUUCUCCCUUUUGGUUCCUACAUUUGUUUCCUUCCUUUUCUGCCGGUGUUGCCGGAUAUGCCCAUUAUCUUUUGCUGCCUUUGAUUGUUGCUGCCCUGUGGGCCUUGGCGCCGCCGUUCCCCCGCGUCCUCCUACCUAUCGUAGCUGGGGGUUCCUCAAGGACCUCCUCCAUCAGAUUGAAUCUGAUAGCUGCGAGCGCGUGCGCGCCUCCGCCGCCGGUGCCCAAGAGGAGGCCUUCUCCGGCAGCGUCGCCGCACCGUGGCGCGUCGAUGUCCUUCGUGCCCGCGCCCCUGUACGGGUCCGAGCGCGGCGGCGCCGCCAGGGCGGGGGGCGCCGAGUUCCGCGGCGCGCACGCACCUGCGCGGGGCCUGCCGCGGCAGCGGCGCCAUCCCGGGGGCGCCGAGGUCGUCGGCAGCCACGCGGCUCUCUGAGGCCCGCCGUGCCGGACCCGACGAGUCCUUUGAUCUUUCUUUCUAUGGCCUCUGCUGUUAGUAUUUCUUUGCCUUUCAAAAGUUUAAUCAGAAUGUUGUACCUCUUCUGAAAACUGUAUUGCCUUUAUUUAGAUGCCGUUGUGUGCACUUCUAAUAUUCUAUUUUGUUACUUUGCGUAAAGCUGUUGCUAUUGCCGUUUAUUAUAUGUACUUGCUUUUUUCCCCCACAGAAUAUUUAUCUGACAUAAUACUUGCUAUGCACUUUGCUUUAUAGCACAGGAUGGAGUAUUCACUCUUGAAAGACGUCACUUCUGAGUCGCAACAUUGGACUGUAAGGGCACGAGUUGUCAGGUUUGCAGAGUAUCUAAGCAAUGACAGCCCCCCUAAGAUUCUUAGGCUUGAUCUAAUACUUGUCGAUAAAGAGGGAAAAGCUAUGGAAGGUCAGAUUCCAGAGAAUUGGAUACCAUUAUUUAAACCACAGCUAAAGGAAGAAUUUGUUUACUAUAUCAAGUUCUUCCAAGUUCGCAAUGCCCGUGCAACAUACUGCCCUGUUGAUCAUCCAUACAUGCUGAGGUUCACUGCUCAUACUAAAGUACAUGAGGUCAAGAAUGUCCAAGACACCUUCCCAAAAUAUGCGUGCGCACCAGCAACAUAUGACGUGCUUCGAAGCAGAGUAGGCAUUACAAAGUACUGCUCAGAUGCUAUUGGAGUAUUGACAUGAUGUUCACAAGUCAAGCUACAACAAACAAAAGGAGGAACUAAGAGCCUACGGAAUGUAUAUCUCACUGAUGGCAGAGGAACAACUGUUGUUUCUUUAUGGAAUCAACAUGCAAGCAGCUUCGACGCUGACCAUUACAUGGAAAUGGCAGGUCGUGGUCCAGUUGUGCUCCUUUUUGUUGGCAUGACAUGUCGCAUAUUCGAAGAAAAACUUACACUUCAAGGAUCCUCAUUAUGCAAAUGGUAUGCCAAUCCAGAACUACCUGAGACUGCUGCCCUCCAAGAUAGUUGUGCUGCCCGACUUCCUCCACCUACAUGGUUUGGCCCAUCUACAGCACAAAAGGAACCAGAGACAAUCACACUAACGAAACUCUCCCAGUUCACAAAUCCUCAUGUCAUUUACGUAUCGUCUCUCUAUUAUUGCCACUGACCCUGUUCCGCCACCAGAGCAGCAAAGUGAAAGAACAAUCCAACUUGUGUUACGUUAUUUGGAUCUAUAGCAGAGGAAAUAAUCGGCACUCCAGUGGAUACUCUUAUUGCUGCUAAUGAAGGCAUGGGAAUCUUGGUCCCAACAAAAAUCACUGCUCUUUAUGGAAAGUAGUAUGAUCUCCGUGUAAGUGUCUCCUCAAUGUCACUACAGCAGGUCAACAUCACCUAUCAAGAUGAUGCCAUCAUAGGGGCUGCCAGCAUUUCCACAUCUACACCACCUCCAUUGCACCUUCCAUCCGAAGGACAAUCUCCCCAUCAAUCAGCAGGCAAAAAACAAGGACUUCACUCCACUGAAAAUCCCACUCUUAUCACAGCACCAAGUGAUUCUGGGUUUGCUCCAUCUGAAUGCAGCAAGGGCACAAGCUUGGCAUUACAUGAUAUAGGUGCAUCGGGUUCAUCAAAUCCUGAUACCCAAGUUCUUCCAGGAACCAAGGCUCCUCAAUCACCUGAAAGCAGCCUCCCCUCAACUUCGGCAUCACUUGCAGACCUAGAAAAAGCCCAGGUUCAUGAGCCAAAGACCAAAAGGACCAAGCGUUCAGAUGAUAACCAAUCUGAUAGCACCAGAAAAAUGAUCCAGAGUAUGUUAACU